CCAAGAAGAAUGUCUAUAGAAGACGGAGU
rnacentral:sRNA from 1 species